rnacentral:rRNA from 1 species
GGGGGGGGAAGGCUACAUGCGACGACGGGUAGCCGGCCUGAGAGGGUGACCGGCCACACUGGGACUGAGAUACGGCCCAGACUCCUACGGGAGGCAGCAGUGGGGAAUAUUGCACAAUGGGCGCAAGCCUGAUGCAGCAACGCCGCGUGAGGGAUGAAUGCCUUCGGGUUGUAAACCUCUUUUAGUAAGGAAGAAGCCGCAAGGUGACGGUACUUGCAGAAAAAGCACCGGCUAACUACGUGCCAGCAGCCGCGGUAAUACGUAGGGUGCAAGCGUUGUCCGGAAUUAUUGGGCGUAAAGAGCUCGUAGGCGGUUUGUCGCGUCUGCUGUGAAAUCCCGGGGCUCAACCCCGGGCCUGCAGUGGGUACGGGCAGACUAGAGUGCGGUAGGGGAGAUUGGAAUUCCUGGUGUAGCGGUGGAAUGCGCAGAUAUCAGGAGGAACACCGAUGGCGAAGGCAGAUCUCUGGGCCGUUACUGACGCUGAGGAGCGAAAGCAUGGGGAGCGAACAGGAUUAGAUACCCUGGUAGUCCAUGCCGUAAACGUUGGGAACUAGAUGUAGGGCCUGUUCCACGGGUUCUGUGUCGUAGCUAACGCAUUAAGUUCCCCGCCUGGGGAGUACGGCCGCAAGGCUAAAACUCAAAGGAAUUGACGGGGGCCCGCACAAGCGGCGGAGCAUGCGGAUUAAUUCGAUGCAACGCGAAGAACCUUACCAAGGCUUG